rnacentral:rRNA from 1 species
UGGGGAAUUUUGGACAAUGGGGGAAACCCUGAUCCAGCCAUGCCGCGUGGGUGAAGAAGGCCUUCGGGUUGUAAAGCCCUUUCGGUGGGGACGAAACGGUGCGUGCUAACACCACGCACUACUGACGGUACCCACAGAAGAAGCACCGGCUAACUACGUGCCAGCAGCCGCGGUAAUACGUAGGGUGCAGGCGUUAAUCGGAAUUACUGGGCGUAAAGCGUGCGCAGGCGGUUUGCUAAGACAGGUGUGAAAACCCCGAGCUUAACUUGGGAACUGCGCUUGUAACUGGCAAGCUAGAGUGUGGCAGAGGGGGGUGGAAUUCCACGUGUAGCAGUGAAAUGCGUAGAGGUGUGGAGGAACACCGAUGGCGAAGGCAGCCCCCUGGGCUAACACUGACGCUCAUGCACGAAAGCGUGGGGAGCAAACAGG